rnacentral:rRNA from 1 species
UACGGGGGGGGCAAGCGUUGUUCGGAAUUACUGGGCGUAAAGGGCUCGUAGGCGGCCAACUAAGUCAGACGUGAAAUCCCUCGGCUUAACCGGGGAACUGCGUCUGAUACUGGAUGGCUUGAGUUUGGGAGAGGGAUGCGGAAUUCCAGGUGUAGCGGUGAAAUGCGUAGAUAUCUGGAGGAACACCGGUGGCGAAGGCGACAUCCUGGACCGGUAUUGACGCUGAGGCGCGAAAGCGUGGGGAGCGAACAGG